UAGGGGUGGAGACAUCCCUUCAAGUCAUUCGUCGAAAUGAAUCGACUAUUGCCGGCCCCAUCCUCAUUAAUAAUUUUAUGACAUAAGACAAGACUUAUCAUGUCGUAUCCAUGAAUGUUACCCAUCCCUUUCACAUGAAUCUCUUGGUGUGGAAUUAUAGGGGAGCGGGAAAUAAUAAUUUUUGGAGAGACCUGAAGGAACUGGUGGGAACACUCAACCCUGACAUCAUCCUGCUAAGCAAAACCCGCUUGUCGGGUGAGCCAGCUGCCCAAGUUGCCCGGACUAUGUCCUUUAAUGGUUUCUUUUCUUGAACAGCCAGGGGUUUCUUUAGAGGAAUUUGGCUUCUCUAGCAUCCCGAUAAGGUCCAAGUGAAUCUUUCAGGUUCUUCUGAGCAGGAGAUUCAAUUCACGCCAUUAUCCAGGUGUUCGGGCUUCACCCGACUAAUCCACGAGGCUCCGAGAACCUCUGGUGGCGCAUGGAACGAGUAAUCACGCCAAAUACGUUCUGGUGGCUCCAAGGGGUUUCGAACCCGGAAUCGGGUGGAUACUUAAGCUCCUCCUUACCAUUAGGCCAAACUCCCUGGAGUUCAUGGGUUGCCUAGUUAACAUAGAUAGUUCUUGGCCCAAAGAUUCAUCGGGUUGUCUUCUCCUUAAAGUCGUCUAAAGCCCCUCGGGCUUGAUGCCUUGCACCCAUGCUUCUACCAACGAUGUUGGGAUAUCGUUGGUUCCUCAGUCUGCGAUGUCGUCUUAUGCUUCUUCUCCACCUGUAGCCAUCCAAAGGAUCUGAACCGUAUGCUAAUCUCUUUUGUUCCCAAGACUUAGUCUUCUAAAACUAUUUCACAAUUCCGGCCGA